GUUUUCUUUCUUCUGAUCAUCACAGAGGAAGGUUUCAAACAAUGCAGUAUUCCAUGUAGAGGCUCAGAAGAAUUUUCUCAUUGUGAAUCGGAAGAAGAAUAGUUGAAGAGAUAACUUGAAACCAGAAGCCAUCAAUCUUAUGAUAACAAUAGAAAAGGUUCUUUCAUCUAUAUGGAGACAACUUCAUGAAGACAACGUAGUUUUAAGGGUUUUUAUGUGUGUAUUAUCCGUUAGUUUGGAAGUAUUAUCACUUUAAGUAGAUGUAGUAUAUGUUUUUUAGUGUGACAACGUGGAAAACUCUGUUUUAAGAGUUUCAUCCUUGUAAGAUUGGUAAGACAUGUAUUUUGCAUUGAUGCAUGCUCACUGCAUCUUUCUUAUUAUAAUAAAAUAUGUGUGCACAUUUGUUGCC